GGCUACCUGGCGCAAUGGUAGCGCGUUUGGCUUCGAUCGCCGACGGAUACCAAAAGGCUGCAGGUUCGAGUCCUGCGGUGGUCA